rnacentral:rRNA from 1 species
AUUGAACGCUGGCGGCAGGCCUAAUACAUGCAAGUCGAGCGAGCGGCGGACGGGUGAGUAAUGUAUGGGGACUGCCCGAUAGAGGGGGAUAACUAUUGGAAACGGUAGCUAAUACCGCAUACUAUCGGAAAACCCAUAUGGGAUUAGCUAGUAGGUCAGGUAAUGGCUUACAAAGGCAACCAUCCGAAGCUGGUUUGAGAGGACGACCAGCCACACUGGGACUGAGACACGGCCCAGACUCCUACGGAGGCAGCAGUGGGGAAUUUUGGACAAUGGGCGAAACCCUGACCCAGCCAUCCCGCGUGUAUGAUGAAGGCCUUCGGGUUGUAAAGUACUUUUGGCAGAGAAGCGGUAUCUGCAGAAUAAGCACCGGCUAACUACGUGCCAGCAGCCGCGGUAAUAC